ACGACCAUAGAGCGUUGGAACCACCUGAUCCCAUCCCGAACUCAGUAGUGAAACGACGCAUCGCCGAUGGUAGUGUGGAGCUUCUCCAUGUGAGAGUAGGUCAUCGUCAAGC
rnacentral:rRNA from 1 species